rnacentral:RNase_P_RNA from 1 species
CAGAGAGAGCAGAUAGUCGCUGCGGCACUGAAGUGACAUAUCACCGCAAGGUGACUAACUAAAGUGCUGUGGAGGAAAGUCGGGACACCAUAGAGCAGGUUGGCACGGGUCAAAGAAUGCGUAAGCACUCUGAGGUCCUGCCUGGGGUGACCCAGAGAUAGUGCAACAGAAAGUAAACCGCCCGCUGUAUGCAAAUACGGUUGGUAAGGGUGAAACGGUGAGGUAAGAGCUCACCAGAAGUGGUGGUAACAUCACUUGCUAUGUAAACCUCAGCCAGUGCAAGGCCGAAUAAGGGGGUUGAUGUCAAAAGCAUCAGCAGCUGCUCGUUGAAGCCCCCGGGUUGCGCCGCUUAGAUGAAUGACUAUCCGUCUGCAAAGAUGACAGAAUCCCGCUUAUCGCUAUCUUUGGGUU